UAACGCGUGGAUAACCUGCCGUAUACCGGGGGAUAACACUUAGAAAUAGGUGCUAAUACCGCAUAAGCGCACGGCUCCGCAUGGGGCAGUGUGAAAAACUCCGGUGGUAUACGAUGGAUCCGCGUCUGAUUAGCUAGUUGGCGGGGUAACGGCCCACCAAGGCAGCGAUCAGUAGCCGGCCUGAGAGGGUGGACGGCCACAUUGGGACUGAGACACGGCCCAAACUCCUACGGGAGGCAGCAGUGGGGAAUAUUGCACAAUGGGGGAAACCCUGAUGCAGCGACGCCGCGUGAGUGAAGAAGUAUCUCGGUACGUAAAGCUCUAUCAGCAGGGAAGAAAAUGACGGUACCUGACUAAGAAGCCCCGGCUAACUACGUGCCAGCAGCCGCGGUAAUACGUAGGGGGCAAGCGUUAUCCGGAUUUACUGGGUGUAAAGGGAGCGUAGACGGCAGCACAAGUCUGGAGUGAAAUCCCGGGGCUUAACCCCGGAACUGCUUUGGAAACUGUGCGGCUGGAGUGCAGGAGGGGUAAGCGGAAUUCCUAGUGUAGCGGUGAAAUGCGUAGAUAUUAGGAGGAACACCGGUGGCGAAGGCGGCUUACUGGACUGUAACUGACGUUGAGGCUCGAAAGCGUGGGGAGCAAACAGGAUUAGAUACCCUGGUAGU
rnacentral:rRNA from 1 species